UACGAAGGGGGCUAGCGUUGCUCGGAAUCACUGGGCGUAAAGCGCACGAGGCGGAUUGUUAAGUCAGGGGUGAAAUCCUGGAGCUCAACUCCAGAAACUGCCUUUGAUACUGGCGAUCUCGAGUCCGGGAGAGGUGAGUGGAACUGCGAGUGUAGAGGUGAAAUUCGUAGAUAUUCGCAAGAACACCAGUGGCGAAGGCGGCUCACUGGCCCGGUA
rnacentral:rRNA from 1 species